AAUCCAUAGGUUAAUGAGGCGAACCGGGGGAACUGAAACAUCUAAGUACCCCGAGGAAAAGAAAUCAACCGAGAUUCCCCCAGUAGCGGCGAGCGAACGGGGAGGAGCCCAGAGCCUGAAUCAGCAUGUGUGUUAGUGGAAGCGUCUGGAAAGGCGCGCGAUACAGGGUGACAGCCCCGUACACAAAAGCGCAUGUGCUGUGAGCUCGAUGAGUAGGGCGGGACACGUGGUAUCCUGUCUGAAUAUGGGGGGACCAUCCUCCAAGGCUAAAUACUCCUGACUGACCGAUAGUGAACCAGUACCGUGAGGGAAAGGCGAAAAGAACCCCGGCGAGGGGAGUGAAAAAGAACCUGAAACCGUGUACGUACAAGCAGUGGGAGCACAGGUUUACCUGUGUGACUGCGUACCUUUUGUAUAAUGGGUCAGCGACUUAUAUUCUGUAGCAA
rnacentral:rRNA from 2 species